UAGGGAAUCUUCCGCAAUGGGCGAAAGACUGACGGAGCAACGCCGCGUGAGUGAUGAAGGUCUUCGGAUCGUAAAACUCUGUUAUUAGGGAAGAACAAAUGUGUAAGUAACUAUGCACGUCUUGACGGUACCUAAUCAGAAAGCCACGGCUAACUACGUGCCAGCAGCCGCGGUAAUACGUAGGUGGCAAGAGUUAUCCGGACUUAUUGGGCGUAAAGCGCGCGUAGGCGGUUUUUUAAGUCUGAUGUGAAAGCCCACGGCUCAACCGUGGAGGGUCAUUGGAAACUGGAAAACUUGAGUGCAGAAGAGGAAAGUGGAAUUCCAUGUGUAGCGGUGAAAUGCGCAGAGAUAUGGAGGAACACCAGUGGCGAAGGCGACUUUCUGGUCUGUAACUGACGCUGAUGUGCGAAAGCGUGGGGAUCAAACA
rnacentral:rRNA from 1 species